CUCUCCAGCGCAGAGAUCUGUCAAAUGCUCCCUCAGGACCAAAGGCAGCAGCAUCAGUGCUCAGACAGCACAGCCUCCUGGUGCUGGUCCCCACGACUGACCCCCCGGAACUGCAAGGAACACCACACCGGCCACAUCAAAGCUGCUGGCCAACGGGAGCCGACUGCUGCGCUUCCAAGGUGCCAGCAUGCCCGGGGUUACUGCAGAGAAGGAAAACACAGGGACUGUUCCAUCCGGAGAGACUGGAUGGGGUCAAACAGUCAGAUCUUCACUGGGCUUUGGCCUUUUUUUCUAUUUACCACUGCUUUUAAAUAUCCAGUGGUAUAGACACUUGGCAGACAGAGUUCCAGCCACAACCGAGGGUCCAUGGCAAGACUCUGUGACAGCUGGUAUUCCUGUAAGUCGAUGUGUGCUCAGAAUUAGCCUGAGAGUGCUAGUUCCUGUGUAAGGCAUUAUCAUAGCACCUGCUCAUCACCAGAUAUAAUUUCAGGCUAAUGUUUACUUUAAA
rnacentral:lncRNA from 1 species